UUGGAAGUAAAAGUCGUAACAAGGUCUCCGUUGGUGAACCAGCGGAGGGAUCAUUA
rnacentral:rRNA from 2 species